rnacentral:rRNA from 1 species
UAUUAUUUAAAAUAUAAAUAAAAAUACUUAAGUAGUAGUAGUUAUGUUCUUGAAACUUAAAAAAUUUGGCGGUAUUUUAGUCUAUCCAGAGGAACCUGUUUUGUAAUCGAUAAUCCACGAUGGACCUUACUUAAAUUUGUAUUCAGUUUAUAUACCGUCGUUAUCAGAAUAUUUUAUAAGAAUAAAAAUAUUCAAUAAUUUAUAUUAAAAUUUAUAUCAGAUCAAGGUGUAGCUUAUAUUUAAGUUUUAAUGGGUUACAAUAAAUUUAUUUAAAUGAAUAAAAUUAUGAAAAAGUUUUUGAAGGUGGAUUUGGUAGUAAAAUUAUAAAGAUUAAUAAUUUGAUUUUAGCUCUAAAAUAUGUACACAUCGCCCGUCGCUCUUAUUAUUAAGGUAAGAUAAGUCGUAACAUAGUAGAUGUACUGGAAAGUGUAUCUAGAAUGA